UACGUAGGCAGCGAGCGUUGUUCGGAGUUACUGGGCGUAAAGCGUGCGUAGGCGGUGGUCCAAGUCUGGUGUGAAAUCUCCCGGCUCAACUGGGAGGGUGCGCCGGAAACUGGGCCGCUGGAGUGCGGGAGAGGCAAGCGGAAUUCCAGGUGUAGCGGUGAAAUGCGUAGAUAUCUGGAGGAACACCCGUGGUGCAGACGGCUUGCUGGACCGUGACUGACGCUGAGGCACGAAAGCGUGGGUAGCAAACAGG
rnacentral:rRNA from 1 species